rnacentral:rRNA from 14 species
GACCUCAAAUCAAACAAGGUUACCCGCUGAAUUUAAGCAUAUUAAUAAGCGGAGGAAAAGAAACUAACCAGGAUUCCCCUAGUAACGGCGAGUGAAACGGGAACAGCGCAAAUUUGAAAUCUGAGCGUAAGCUCCGAGUUGUAAUUUAUGGAGUGUACAUCACAGUUAUCUCAUCUAUGCUCAAAUGUUUUUGGAACAUACUGCCAGAGAGGGUGAUAGCCCCGUUUGUAGUGUGGAGUUUGAGGUGGCAACAUGUGUUGUGCUCUUUGAGAGUCGGGUUGCUUGGGAUUGCAGCCUAAAAUGCGUGGUAAAUCUCACGUAACGCUAAAUAUUGACGAGAGACCGAUAGCGAACAAGUAGUGUGAACGAAAGAAGAAAAGUACUUUGAAAAGAGAGUGAAAAGUCCUUGAAAUUGUUAAAAGGGAAGCGCUUAAAACCAGUCUUUGAUUACUUAAUAUCAUUAAGUGUCUUUAUUCCUGUUCCGCAUUCUCUUGGGAGUGUGUCACUCAGGGAUGAAGAUAGGUUAAUAUCAAUUCAUUAUCGAGUAAAAGUCUGUUGAUGAAGGUGGGAUCGGCUUCUAUUUCGGUAGUUCUGAUUCUCAAGGCGUCUGGCAGGUGCUACUUGAUGAUGGAUUGAGGAAUUUCACGCUGGUUCCCUUGCUGCUUUUUAUAUGUUGUGAAAUGUAACACUGGGAAAAAUCUCUCUGUUGCGUUGAUCAAUGUGUAAAGAGGGUGGUAAGGUGCUGGAUGUGAGGAUAUUAACACAAUGGUUUUAAUCGACCCGUCUUGUAACACGGACCAAGGAGUCUAACAAAUAUGCGAGUAUGAAGGUACUUUCUAAUCUAAACCUUUGGAUGCGAAAUGAAAGUAAAGGCAAUUCUUUAGAGUUGCUCAAGUGGGAUCUUGUUGUAAAAGACAAAGAGCACCAUUGACCGAUCAGGAUAGAACAAGUAAUUGUUUUGAAAGAUUUGAGUAAGAGCAUAUCUGUUGGGACCCGAAAGAUGGUGAACUAUGGGUGAGUAGGGCGAAGUCAGAGGAAACUCUGAUGGAGGCUCGAAGCGAUGCUGACGUGCAAAUCGCUCGUCAAACUUGCCUAUAGGGGCGAAAGACUAAUCGAACCAUCGAGUAGCUGGUUCCCUCCGAAGUUUCCCUCAGGAUAGCAGGAGUUAUGUAGUAAACAGUUAUGUCUGGUAAAGCGAAUGAUUAGAGGUCCUGGGGAAGAAACUUCCUCAACCUAUUCUCAAACUUUAAAUAGGCAUGAUAUCUAAGUUGCUUCAAUUAUGAACUUGGAUUACGAAUGGCAAACUCCUAGUGGGCCAUUCCUGGUAAGCAGGACUGGCGAUGUGGGAUGAACCAAACGUUGAGUUAAAGUGCCAGAAUGCACGCUCAUAUAGAUACCAGAAAAGGUGUUGGUUGAUACAGACAGAAGGACGGUGGCCAUGGAAGUUGGAAUCCGCUAAGGAGUGUGUAACAACUCACCUUCCGAAUCAACUAGCCCUGAAAAUGGAUGGCGCUAAAGCGUGUUACUUAUACUCAACCUUUUAGACAAAUACUUUUUUAUGUCUAAAAGAGUAGGAGGGCGUGGAGUUUAUGUAGAAGCCUAUGAGCGUGAGCUUGGGUGGAAUAAACUCUAGUGCAGAUCUUGGUUGUAGUAGCAAAUAUUCAAGUGAGAACCUUGAAGGCCGAAGUAGAGAAAGGUUCCGUAUGAACAGUAUUUGGAUACGGGUUAGUCGAUCCUAAGAGAUAAGUUAAUUUCUGUAUUAAAGUUGAGUGAUGUUUAUCUUCACUCCCUUAUCGAAAGGGAAGAUGGUUAAUAUUCCAUCACUAAGAUGGGGAUACUUUUACGGUAACGUAAAUGAACUUCGAUACAUCGGUAAAAGCCCUGGAAAGAGUUCUCUUUUCUUUUUAAUAGCCCGUUGAUAUUCUUCUGAGUGUUAAUUUAAAACGACCUAGGAAUUAGAUUAUCUAGAGAAUAGGUCAAAUGGCUAUCAGAGCAUCCCUCUUUUUUUGGGGUGUCCGGUGCGCUUUUGACGAUCCUUGAAACUCGAAGGGAAAGAAUCAUUCUCCCACUUAGUCGUACUCAUAACCGCCGCAGGUCUCUAAGGUGAAAAGCCUCUGGUCUAUUAGAAGAAUGCAGGUAAGGGAAGUCGGCAAAAUAGAUCUGUAACUUCGGGAUAAAGAUUGGCUCUUAGGGUUGGGUUGUUAGGCUUUUAGAUCAAUGCCUUGUGAUCGUUGGAGAGCUACGGAAUGACUGGUUGAUUAGGGUAACCGAAAAAUUGGUUGUACUGUGGAGCUUCUUUGGUUACUUGGAGGAGGUCUUUAAGAUCCUUCUUUGUCUUUCGGGAUGAAGAACUCCUGGCAACAAUUAACAACCAACUAAGAACUGAUACGGUCAAGGGGAAUCCGACUGUUUAAUUAAAACAAAGCAUUGUGAUGGC